rnacentral:rRNA from 1 species
AUUGAACGCUGGCGGCAGGCCUAACAUAUGCAAGUCGAGCGGAUGAAGGGAGCUUGCUCCUGGAUUCAGCGGCGGACGGGUGAGUAAUGCCUAGGAAUCUGCCUGGUAGUGGGGGAUAACGUCCGGAAACGGGCGCUAAUACCGCAUACGUCCUGAGGGAGAAAGUGGGGGAUCUUCGGACCUCACGCUAUCAGAUGAGCCUAGGUCGGAUUAGCUAGUUGGUGGGGUAAAGGCCUACCAAGGCGACGAUCCGUAACUGGUCUGAGAGGAUGAUCAGUCACACUGGAACUGAGACACGGUCCAGACUCCUACGGGAGGCAGCAGUGGGGAAUAUUGGACAAUGGGCGAAAGCCUGAUCCAGCCAUGCCGCGUGCGUGAAGAAGGUCUUCGGAUUGUAAAGCACUUUAAGUUGGGAGGAAGGGCAGUAAGUUAAUACCUUGCUGUUUUGACGUUACCAACAGAAUAAGCACCGGCUAACUUCGUG